rnacentral:SRP_RNA from 1 species
CCUAAUGUGGGGGUACUGGUAGUCCCAUCUACUAGGAAGGCUGAGGGCAGGAGGAUCACUUGAGCAACUAGGCUGAUUGGGUGUCCUCACUAAGUUCUGCAUCAAUAUGCCUGUGAUGUUCUGGGAGUGGGGACCACUAGGUUGCCUAAGGAGGGGUGAACUGGCCCAGGUUGGAAACGGAGCAGCUGAAAACUCCCGUGCUAAUCAGUAGUGGUAUAUCCUGUGCCAGUCAUCAGUAGUGGUAUAUCCUUGU